rnacentral:lncRNA from 1 species
UUUGAAGCCAGAGCAGAGAGCUUGUAAAUUCCAGAACAGCAACCACCCUACUACAAAAGACUUCCAGAUUGCUGGUGCUCUGCACAUAGACACACCAAGGGGUCAUACCUGCCCCUGGGGCUGUCUGAGGUGCCUGUCCAUGGUAGCAUGGGAUGAACAGGCUGACUCCUCUCCAACAGAAGACAAAAGAAGGAAAUGUACACACACUUUUUGGGUAGUUCAGGGUAUAAAAGGGGUUUAUUCCCUUCUUAACAGGGAGAAAUUUCUGUCCUUCAGCAACCACCUUUUGUAUUGUUCACUAUAUAUGGCUUGGUUACUCUGAGAAACAUACUGAAAAUGUAAAUGUCCAGAUGUUUGGUAUUUAUUUGUUGGUGUGUUGUUUUUUUUUCAAUAGUAAGUAAUAGUAAGCCAGUCUAUUUCCACAUAUUUUAUUUCCAUGCUAUACAUUCUCCCAGCUGCACUUUAAUGUACAGAAUCGCCUUAUGAAAAGUGGAGUUACAGGACCCACCCCAGAAUAAGGGUUGACCCAUAACUCCAUGUCACAGCCACCUCAUUCUACACUGAAAAACUGCAGUAGCCUAAUAUGGUCAGUGAAAGCAUGAAGUUUUAGCCAUACAACUAAUAGGUAGACAAGCCCUGCUGUGGACACUGUAGUAUCAGCAAAGGCCAGGAGCCCAAACUAUUCCCUGCUGCCAAAGAGCUGUACCACCACAGCUGCAUUAGGGUUAGACAAGUUGUAACUUCCUUACAAUUGACAUGUGUUAUGCAAGACCAGGUCUGCUCUACAGAUUUAUGCUGGCAGUUACACCUAGAGGGGAAAAGAAAAGUUGCAUCUCGUAUUGAAAUGACUGUACUGCCAUGCAGAUGAUACAAAGCCACAAAAGGUCUUCCCAUACAGGAAGUGUCUAACCACCUCCAGCAAAACACCACCAUAGGCAAUAUAAACUAUCUGUUGUCAGCAACAUUAAUCUCCUCUGAAAUAAGGACCAAAGGCCAGAUACCUUGAAGUUCCUCUUUCAGUCCACUGUCUUGCAUGGAAGCUGAAGCUUUUCAGCUCAAGCCUAGGCACGUGG